rnacentral:rRNA from 1 species
UACGAAGGUCCCGAGCGUUGUUCGGAAUCACUGGGCGUAAAGGGAGCGUAGGCGGCGUAGUAAGUCAGAUGUGAAAUCCCGGGGCUCAACCCCGGAACUGCAUCCGAUACUGCUAUGCUAGAGUAAUGGAGGGGUAGCUGGAAUUCUUGGUGUAGCAGUGAAAUGCGUGGAUAUCAAGAGGAACACUCGUGGCGAAAGCGAGCUACUGGACAUUUACUGACGCUGAGGCUCGAAGGCUAGGGGAGCGAAAGGG